rnacentral:rRNA from 1 species
GCGCAAGCACCGGCUUCGGCUGGAUCGUGCCCGCCAGAGGACCACAACUCUGUAUCAAAUGUCGUCUGAGUACUAUAUAAUAGUUAAAACUUUCAACAACGGAUCUCUUGGUUCUGGCAUCGAUGAAGAACGCAGCGAAAUGCGAUAAGUAAUGUGAAUUGCAGAAUUCAGUGAAUCAUCGAAUCUUUGAACGCACAUUGCGCCCUCUGGUAUUCCGGAGGGCAUGCCUGUUCGAGCGUCAUAAUGACCAAAUCACCCUUGUGGUGGACUUGGAGUUGGCCUGUACUGGCCUCUCUUAAAAUCAGUGGCGGUGCUCUUAAAGCUCUACGCGUAGUAAUUUUCUCGCUAUAGGGUCUUGAUUGUACUUGCCAACAACCCCAACUUAUCAUAAGGUUGACCUCGGAUCAGGUAGGGAUACCCGCUGAACUUAAGCAUAUCAAUAAGCGGAGGA